GUGGGGGAUAGCCCGGCGAAAGCCGGAUUAAUACCGCAUACGACCCAAGGGUGAAAGCGGGGGAUCGCAAGACCUCGCGCUAUUGGAGCGGCCGAUGUCAGAUUAGGUAGUUGGUGAGGUAAAGGCUCACCAAGCCUUCGAUCUGAAGCUGGUCUGAGAGGACGACCAGCCACACUGGGACUGAGACACGGCCCAGACUCCUACGGGAGGCAGCAGUGGGGAAUUUUGGACAAUGGGCGAAAGCCUGAUCCAGCCAUGCCGCGUGCGGGAAGAAGGCCUUCGGGUUGUAAACCGCUUUUGUCAGGGAAGAAACGCUCCGAGCCAAUACCCCGGAGUAAUGACGGUACCUGAAGAAUAAGCACCGGCUAACUACGUGCCAGCAGCCGCGGUAAUACGUAGGGUGCAAGCGUUAAUCGGAAUUACUGGGCGUAAAGCGUGCGCAGGCGGUUAUGCAAGACAGAUGUGAAAUCCCCGGGCUUAACCUGGGAACUGCAUUUGUGACUGCAUGGCUAGAGUGCGGCAGAGGGGGAUGGAAUUCCGCGUGUAGCAGUGAAAUGCGUAGAUAUACGGAGGAACACCGAUGGCGAAGGCAAUCCCCUGGGCCUGCACUGACGCUCAUGCACGAAAGCGUGGGGAGCAAACAGGAUUAGAUACCCUGGUAGUCCACGCCCUAAACGAUGUCAACUGGUUGUUGGAAGGGUUCCCUUUCAGUAACGAAGCUAACGCGUGAAGUUGACCGCCUGGGGAGUACGGCCGCAAGGUUGAAACUCAAAGGAGUUGACGGGGACCCGCACAAGCGGUGGAUGAUGUGGUUUAAUUCGAUGCAACGCGAAAAACCUUACCUACCCUUGACAUGUCUGGAAUUCUGCAGAGAUGUGGAAGUGCUCGAAAGAGAACCAGAACACAGGUGCUGCAUGGCCGUCGUCAGCUCGUGUCGUGAGAUGUUGGGUUAAGUCCCGCAACGAGCGCAACCCUUGUCAUUAGUUGCUACGAAAGAGCACUCUAAUGAGACUGCCGGUGACAAACCGGAGGAAGGUGGGGAUGACGUCAGGUCCUCAUGGCCCUUAUGGGUAGGGCUACACACGUCAUACAAUGGCCGGUACAGAGGGCUGCCAACCCGCGAGGGGGAGCUAAUCCCAGAAAACCGGUCGUAGUCCGGAUCGCAGUCUGCGACUCGACUGCGUGAAGUCGGAAUCGCUAGUAAUCGCGGAUCAGCUUGCCGCGGUGAAUACGUUCCCGGGUCUUGUAUACACCGCCCGUCACAC
rnacentral:rRNA from 1 species